rnacentral:rRNA from 1 species
AAAUUGAAGAGUUUGAUCAUGGCUCAGAUUGAACGCUGGCGGCAGGCCUAACACAUGCAAGUCGAACGGUAACAGGAAGCAGCUUGCUGCUUCGCUGACGAGUGGCGGACGGGUGAGUAAUGUCUGGGAAACUGCCUGAUGGAGGGGGAUAACUACUGGAAACGGUGGCUAAUACCGCAUAACGUCGCAAGACCAAAGAGGGGGACCUUCGGGCCUCUUGCCAUCAGAUGUGCCCAGAUGGGAUUAGCUUGUUGGUGAGGUAACGGCUCACCAAGGCGACGAUCCCUAGCUGGUCUGAGAGGAUGACCAGCC